CACUGUUCUAGACCUUUGGGGAGGAGUUAGAUUUCGGAAGUAGCUCACUGUACUUCUCCCUAAUCUUCUCUACCUUUGUACAUUUCUUUUUAAAAUCAAAUUUGAUGCAUUCUGUGCAUCCACAUCAGUCUUUUUAAACAAAUCUCGUUUUUCCUUUUCAUUGGAAUUUUGUUCUUAAGCAUUUCCCAUCCCCUGUAAGAGUUUAAAUUUAUGUUUUAUGCUAAAUAUGAGAAUUCUAAAGUAAUAUUGUGGUUGCCGAUUUAAAAUAUCCCUUAAGUCAAAAUGAUUGUUUAAGCCUCUCUUUAUGAGAUAGGAAAGACUGAAAGUGGGAAAUGUAAGAAAGAGACAGAAAUUACUGCCUAGCUACAAAUAUCCUAAAUUUAAUCCUGUCUCCAGACCACAAAUGUGAAUCUGAAAGCAAAUCUCACCAGAAUCCAAAACCCUAAUUAGGAAGCCAAAAUCUGAAGAGCCAGGAGAUGCUGAAGAAUCCUCCAAGAAUCUCACCAGAACUCAACGCUGAAAGGAGUGUCCCACCAAAGCGCCAAUGAGCAGAGAGGGUCUCCUCACUGAAGAACCAAGGAAGGAAUCACUCUUACCACUGCAGUAUCCAAGGGAAGCAUCUCUUCAAGCACCAAGGCAGGAAUGACUCCAAACCAGAAGAUCCGAAGAGAGAAGAAAAAGAAGCCUUGAAUCCAGAAUGCCAUGGCCUUUUUAUAGUCCUUUUUCCAUAUUAUUUCCUGUCUCUUCCCCUUUUCACAGGAACCAAUCACAGCUUCCAAACUGCUUAGCCCUACCCAGGUCUUGGCAGUUCCUUUGGAGGUUAUCGGGCAUUUGCUCAAGCCCAGGAUGGAAGUAUGUGUCUUGCUAUGGAGUAUGGAGGAGAAAAGUCUCUCAACGACUUAAUUGAGGAAAGAAAUACCAACUGCCAUUCUCCUUUCCCAGCUGCUAUAAUUUUGAAGGUUGCUUUGCACAUGGCAAGGGGGUUAAAGGUAUAUCAUUGCCAUUAUAUUUAAAACUUUUUAUAUAAAACACAUCUAAACCAAAUAUUCAUAUGUAAUUGAUAGUACAUACUUUACCCUUAAGCACAUAGAGAAUAAUAGUUUUUAACAAUAUCUUCAUCAAAUGCAGGGAUGUUUUUAUUCAUUCAAAGAGAAUUAAAAAUAUUUACCAGAAAUUUAAUUUAGAUUGAAUCCUUGCCUCUAGUAAUCCAUGUGACAAUGUGUCAUUUGUUUCUUUAAUGGUAAAUUGGUUUUUUAAAAUUUCUCAGAUCUCACAGAAACAUAAAGACACUAACUAAUAAAAACAUACUAACUUCAUGCA
rnacentral:lncRNA from 1 species